rnacentral:rRNA from 1 species
CCCAAUUGUGGGCUUUGUCCUCUUUGCAAGCGCUUGCAAGAGUCCAUCGAUCACCUCCUCUUCAGAUGCCGGUACACUAUUAGACUUUGGGAAAUGAUAAAAGAUUGGCUCCAGCUCGAAAGCAUCAACACUUCCACUUGGCACUUGGCACGGUCAACCAAAGAGUGGUGGAUCGGGCUCUCGGACUCUACCAUACCGAACAGGACGGCCAUGGCUACCCUCUCUAUGCUCACCUCUUGGACAAUCUGGAAUGAAAGGAACGCUCGCAUCUUCCAACUCAAGAGUGUCCCACCGGCGGUUCUACUAGCUAACAUCAAGAUUGAGACUCAAACUUGGGUCACCGCGGGUGCAAAGAAAUUGGGAUCCAUCAUGCCGCGAGAGUAG